CUCUCUCUCUCUCUCUGACGGUGAGAGUACCAUUCUCUAAACAAACACCGAAGAAGAUGAAGAAAACUCUCACUUUCCGAUACCACUCUCUUCAAUCCGACAAUAGUUUGCUGCCCCAAAACUAAUCCAGUCUCAACAGCAAGCUGAAAUCUUUGAAGUCGGAGGUCGGAAUAGGCUUGAGCGAGUGUCUUCCAUUUCCAAUCUCUUUCUCUUCCUCUCUCACAGACGGUGAGAAUAUUCGUACUUCUAAUCUCUCUCUCUCUCUCUCUCUCUCUCUCUCUCUCUCUCUCUCUCUCUCUCUCUCUCUCUCUCUCUCUCUCUCUCUCUCUCUCUCUCUCUCUCACACACACACAGACGAUGGAAGUAUUCGUCUUUCUGGGUUUUUCAGUUUUUGACGAUUUGGGAAUUAACUUUCGGCGAUUUCGUUUUAACCUCAGCCUUAAGCCCUUAACUAAAGAAAAAAAAAAUCAUUUUCAGAACGCCUAAUCGGCGCCUAGCUAGAACCGCCCAGCCGCCCAAUACCGCCCAGGACCGCCUAGGCGGUUGCAAGUCGGCCAGACGCCUAGCUCGAUCGAUUAGGCAUGAAUCAGAACAUUGGAGUGCCGCCUAGGCGGCCGCCUAGGCCGAUUUUUAGAACCCUGACUAUUACUCUGUCAAAUUAGCAAUAGAACCUGACUUCGGCAUCGGAGAGGCAUAAACCGUCAGGUACGGUUUAUACAUCUGAUGUUAUGCAUUCACUUUGACAGGGUCUUGGAGUUAUCUUGGUACCCGCUAGGAUUUAUAGCAUACUGCCAACUAUCAGGGUUUAUAGCAUUCUGCUUGACGUACUCGGCGAGGUCAUCAGAAACACUAAGUUUUAUCAAGAUAGUUGGCUAGAUAUAUAGUUAUACACUUGAUAUAUAUUAGACUCCACAGAGAAGCAGGCCCCUUUGCCGAAGAGCGAUUAUGAGCUACCCUAAUUAAUUAAUUUCUUUUUGCCCAAUGCAAAUGGUUUUACUAAAUCAUAGUUGUAGACCUAUGGAAAUGUCCAUGGAGUGAAAUCAACAUUCUCCAUUUUACAAUUCACAGUUUUUUUUUAUUUUAUUAAAAUUCUUAUAAGAAUACAAAAGUUUAAGUUACUAAAAAAUGAAACAUAGAGCGUAGAUUGUAAAAAAAGGAUCCUCAUUCUUUUUCUCUCAUUUUGAAAGUUUUGCUUUGUUCAUGAUGACAUGGUUAAAAAAAUUCAAAUUUGAAAUUCUGAAUGUGAGAUUUGAUUUGUCGUCUCAACAGUUUAAGGCUGAUUUGGUUAACUUUAGUGUUAAAUGAUGUAAUGGUUGUUCGAUCACUUAUACAAUUGUCAUUUCUUUGUUGAAAUGAUAUCAUCAUAUGAUAAGCAUAUUGAUCGACAUGCUAGUACGAUGACGUACGUCCUUGUUCACUUUGUGACGGCGAGCUCGUGUAUCCAAUGGUUUAUCUAAGAGUACUGCUACAACUCUACAAAUCUGAAGGGAUAACGGUGACGUUAUACAAGCACCUGCUACAACUCUAAUCUGUUUAACAGUAAGUUGUAGUUUUUAACCAUUAUUGAACCAGUUAAGGCAACUAAUACAACUGGGAUUAGGAUUCCAGUACACACACACAAACUAAUACAAGCACACAAACUAAACUGGGAUCAUGAUACAAGCACACAAGCUAAACUGGGAUAAGGAUUCCAGUACACACACAAACAAAUACAAGCAACUCCAUUGGGAAUGGAUAUGUCUUAAUCUGGAAGGUAGGGUCAUUUAGGUAGUCGUACUGUUUGUUCACGUUAAAGCUCUGUAUGUUUGAACCCAAAAUGAGCAUUUUGGCCUGACAAGGCGUGUCUUGGAGAAAUUGAGCCAAUAUCAGUGGCUCAAGCUAUAUACUGUCGACAAGUUAGAAAUAUAUUAUUUAGAGGCUAAAUAAAGCAUACUAUGGAAGAUUAUGCGAGCUCCAAGAAAAGGAAAUGAUGGAAGCAUGGAAAUGAAAAAUCAACUUUAGCACAUUUUCCUACUUCGGCUAGGAGAAACCGAGCUAAACAAAGAAGGAAGGGCGGCAGACUAACCAAAAGAAAUUCAAAUGAGCUAAAACUUUUCAGAUUAAUUCUAGACAUCCCAAGGAUCAUUUCUUAUGAAGAGUACCAGAGCUAGUUUUGAGUAAAAAGCCUUCAAACAAUCAGUCCAAUUUUCUACAGAAGCAAAACUGGAAAACUGGACCUGUAAGGAGUCUAGCUGCGUUUCCGGCCCAACCACAUGGAAUUAAGCUCUAAAAUUUCACCAAAAUGAUCUAGACUCAUUGUGGAUCAUUUGUUAUGAAGAAGUCAAAGGCCCAUUCUGAUUUGUUGGUGAAGAUAUAAUUGAAGGAAUAAAGGAGCAGAAAGUGACUCAAACCUAACAAUUCCAUUAGUGUUUAAGUGCUCAAACCUAACAAUUCCAUUAGUGUUUAAGUGCUUAAUCCAUCAUGAUUUGUUUAAGGCCAACCACUAUGGCUUGGUAGCCUAUAUAUAGAGGCUACAACAAGUAACAAUAGACAACACCAUUCAUCAAAGAAUCUCUAUGACCAUCCAAGCCUCUCUAGAGCAAUCCCUCUCAGAGCAACCCCUCUCUUUCUCUUACCAGUGAUCACACUCCAGUUCUAGUCUUCUCAAGAGCCGACUGUCAGUGCCACCAAACCCUCUGUCAAAGUGCUUCGAUCCUAGUCUCCUCGGGAGCCGACGGUAGUACAGCGACCACAACGGUUACGGAACCAGCCAAGCAAGGGUAACGCCCUCGCAAACCAGCUAAGCUAAAGUCAUGCUUUGGCAAGUUCUCUCUACUUCCCGCUGAUUUCGCUCUGCUCAACCUACAACGUUGAGUAUCAACUUGGUGACACAAGACAAAGUCCUCCAACACAAGGCACAAAAGACCCCCACGACGAGGUUGGUGCUCUUCUCAUCUACAAUCGCACGAAAGAAGUCAGGUCAAGGGACACCCCCGAUGACUGCACCUUACGGUGCUGACACGCCCGCGCAGAAAAGAGACUGUUGACUAGCUGCAACAAAACUGGAGCCAAACAGGCUCCAAUUAACGGCUAUAUUUGAAUUGCAUGUCCAGGAUCUUUUCCUCCUUCCUAUUGGAGCACAAGCAUCACCGUAACUCUGUAAGCUUGUAACAGACUACAGUUACAGUGGAUCGGACCCAUACGUACAUAAAUACAAACAGAAAUAAUUGAUAUUUUUUCUCCUCGAAUUAGAGAUUUUCUGCUAUUGAUUUAUGCAAAUCCUACAUGGAUCUAAUGCGUAUGAAGAUGGAUCACUGACAUGUAUAAUAACUAGGGGUGGCUUACAUUGCCAGACCUGCCGAAACCGGCUAAACUGCCGCUGUCGGAGCCGACAAAAAUGGUAACCGAAGGUCCGGUUCGGUUUUACCGUACCGUAUAUUUGUAUGCGGCUCGAUAGCGAUACAUCAAUUAUAUUUAUACGGUAUUACCGUACCAACCGUAUAUAUCUACUUUUAUUAUUUUUUAUUUAUUUUUAAUACUAGGUAUGUUUUAAGCCGUUGAUUUCUAGCAUCUGUGAAUGACAACCAUUGGAUCUUAGUGGAGAUUGGGGUAACCUAAGAGGGGUCAGUCAGAUUAGGUCAUUUGCAACUUGUGCCCGCAACCUCUCUCUCUCGAGUCUUGACCCUCUCUUCCUCUCAGAACCAACCCAGCCCCAAUCCAAUCCAAAAAACAACAAUCGAUCAUUGAUGCGAACCUCACCAACAUAAGUUUCAACCCAGAUAUCGUUUGAUUUUUGAAAUCCCCAAAUCGUUCGACCAACCCUAGAUCAGUUGCUUGGUUGAAGUGGUUGCUCAGAGGCUUAUACGGUGUUCAAGUGGUGUUUCUGAGCACAAAUAGAACUGGAAAGUCCUUUAAAGCUUGAGGGUAUUGACCAUGGAUUUCAGUUGAGGGUUUAUCAGUUUAUCCUGAGGCAGAGAGGUGAUCGAGGUCUUUGAUUAGACCAUGGCUUCUACAAGUAGGUCAGGAAGUCAUUGUUGUUCAUCUCCUUCCAUAACUUCAAACAUGGUUACUGCAAGUUGUCAAUCUGUUAGUGUUUCCCCAAAUGAUAACCAAAACCCUUUACCACCAGUAGGUAACUUACCACCAAUAGAUAAUAGUACCCCUAACUUAGUUCCCAUUCCAACCCCAACUGAAACAACAAAUCCAGAUCCUGAAUCGGUGGAAGCUACUGCAGGGCUGGGGAAAAGAAAAACACUAGAUACAACCACAAAGGGUAGGAAACAGAGUCGAGUAUAGGAGUGUUUUACAAAGCCUUUGCUCCCUGAUGGCAAGCCUGACCCACAGAAUGCACAAUGCAACUACUGUAAAGCAUUAGUUCCUGCUUUAAGUUCAAAGAAUGGAACCAGUUCUUGCUGGUCACAUGGAAGAAACUGCAAGGUUAACCCUCUAUUUGAGAAACCAAUCGAGAAAGGGCAGACUAUAUUAGCUAGGGAUAAUGUUUCGGGGGCUCCACAAUAUCACAGAUUUAAUCAGGGUAGGAUAGAUGAGAAGCUGUACAAGAUGAUCAUAAGGGAUGAACUUCCCUUUAGGCAUGUGGAGGGUUUUGGGUUUAAAGCAUUUAUGCUAGAAGCUCAGCCACAGUGGAUUCAACCAAGUAGAAAGUUAGUGGCCAAGGGAGUGUGAGAAUUGUACCAAUCUGAGAACGGAAAGAUGAUGUCGAUCUUUGCACAGCAUGCAAAGAGAGUUAGUGUAACCACUGACACUUGGACAUCAAUUCAGAACAUUAACUACAUGGUGGUCACUGCCCAUUUCAUAGACAGCGACUAGAAAUUGCACAAAAGGAUUAUUAACUUUUGUUCAAUUACCAGUCACAAAGGGGAAGAUAUAGGGAGGGUCCUGGAGCAGUGUUUGAGGGAAUGGGAUAUCAAUAGGGUGUUCACUAUCACAGUAGACAAUGCUAGUGCAAAUGACCUAGCAGUUGUCUACAUGAAAAGAAGGCUGAGGAACAUGAACACUUUAUGCUUUGAUGGGGACUUCUUGCACCUUCGAUGUGCAUGCAUGUCACAUCAUCAAUUUGAUUGUCAAGGAUGGAAUCAAAGAAUUAGAGGAUGGGAUUGAUGCAAUUUGGAAUUGUGUCAAGUUUAUUAGGUCAAGUUCAAGUCGAUUAGACAAGUUUAGGGAGUUUUCUGUUCUUGAGCACUUGAAUAAGAAUGCGAAUGUUCCCCUAGAUGUGAUCACUAUGUGGAAUAACACUUAUUUAAUGCUUGCUGCGACAUUAAAAUAUGAGAAAGUGUUUGAUAGGAUGGGUGAUGAAGAUGUGCAGUUUAGGCAUUAUUUUGAGGAGAAAGAUACCAAAGGUAGGAAGAGGACAUGCCCUCCCACAGAGGCAGAUUGGAGAAAUGCUCAAGCUUUAGUGCAUUUCCUCAAAAAGUUUUACGAGACAACACUCAAAUUGAGUGCUUGUAAAUCAGUUACUGCAAACUUGCAGUUCAAAGAGAUGAUCGACCUUCAAACAGAGAUUGAUAAGAAGGCAAAUGAUGAUUCUGAUGAGGUUUUGCAGAGGGUGGCAGUGGGGAUGAAAGCAAAAUUCAACAAAUAUUGGGGCAGCUUUGAAACCAUGAAUCAAAUCAUGGUGAUUGCAAAUGUCCUAGACCCUCGCUGGAAACUGCAAUAUCAGAAAACAACAUUUUUAAGGGUGGGAGUCAGAGCUCCCACCAUUGAGAAGAUAACUAGGGACUUGAAGAACAUUAUGUUGAGAAUGUAUGAUGAGUAUAGGGGCUGUGAGGGGGGGUUUAAGUCAACCAAAAAAUUCAGAUGGUAUUGCAGCAAUGGAGGGGGUUGAGUUUGAUGAUCUAGAAGAUGGACAAGCUGAGAUACUUGCUGAUCUCAUGCUAGAAAGACUCGAAAAUGAACAUGAAAUGAUAUCCAACGAGGUUGACAAGUACCUUGCAGAUAGAUAUGUGAAUCUUUUAGUCAAAGGGUUUGAUGUUUCACAAUGGUGGAGGGUCAACGCAUCUACAUAUCCUAUUCUUUCCAAGCUUGCUAAAGACAUUUUUGCAAUUCCUUGCUCUACUGUGGCAAGUGAGAAUGCAUUUAGCUUGGGAAAAAGGGUAGUUGAUCCCUUUAGGAGUUCACUGACUCCUCAAAUGGUUGAGGCACUAGUCUGCAUUAGUGAUUGGUUGAGAGCUGAGCAGCCUAAUUUCUAUUCAGAACCAACAACGAAUGAGAUGUCCUUGUAUAAGGAUCUAGAAGAACUGCAUAAAGAAACUGCUGCGCUGCAUUUGGGAGGUGGAGUGUCUACGACAACUACUGCUUGAAGAUUUGGAUGGUGCAAACAUCCAGUUCGGAGAUAUAGCUGCUGGGCAUUUUUUUGUUUAGUGUUUGGAGUCUACUUGAAGAUUUGGAUGCAGCUGCUGUGUUUUUGUUUUUUUGUUUAGUCAUUGGAAUCAUCAAAUCACUUGCAGCUUUUUGUCUAUUUCAAUUUGAGGUUCUGUAAUAUUCAAUAACUUUUAGACUUGGACAUCAGUCACAUAUGAUAUGUGAGCUUGUAAUUUGUGAAUGUAGAACUGAAAGAGAAAAAGUGAAAACAUCAAGUCUAGAACUCACUUCUCCAUAAGAAGGUGAGGAAUAGACUUGAUGGAGAUGUAUUAUUCAGGAAAUUGCAAAGUUAAG